rnacentral:ncRNA from 1 species
AUGGAGGAUGCUGAAAAUCCUAUAAAAGAGUAGGCU